ACCCCCACCCCCACCCCCAUCUAUUCCUCCAUCAUCCAUCAAUCAACCACCACUUUUCACUUGUUCUGUCUUAAUCCCUCCCUCCAGGUUUAGUCUCUUUUGGAAUCCCCAGGCACACACAUGAACAGCUAAGUUUCCAAAAAGCAUUCCUAACGCUGACACUUGCCUUGGCUGCCAUCUUGGUUCGUUACUGGAAACAGGUAGUCCCAUUUUAGGAAAAUGGGCUGGAGCCUGGGAGGAGCUGAGUUAAGAUGGGUGAGCAGCAAACAGGGCAACUGAGUUUAACACAACUUUCAGUCAAAGCACAGACAGAAUCAAAUCUGUUUCUUUAAAGUCUUAAAAUCUUGGAGGUAAUGAACAUCAGCAUGUCACUGUUUAUCUUCCACUGGUUAAACCAAUAGACUUUUAUAUUCCUGUUGUUUGUGAACAUAAAUCUAAAAAGUCCUGAACCGAGGAACCAGCAGCAUCCUGUCAUGUUUGGAUCUGUCCAGAGUCGUAGCCAGAACCCCUGAACAUUCAGAAAACUUCUAAAACCCACAGAGAGGGAAGAGGAUGUGGAGGAAAGAGAGUGUUAGGAUGUGAAGAGAAUGAGAUGAGGUGAGGAAGAAGGGAUGGAAUCAGACGAAGAGUGAAGGGGACUCCCCACCAAAUAAAAACCCUCCACCAGCUGCUGCCUAUAUUUAUCCUGCCGUCACUGCUAUAUUUAACCUCACCUCCCUGUAGAAGACAUGGAUGCUUCAGAAGCCACCAGGAGCGCUUGGUUUUCAUUCCUACUUCACUGAAGGUGGGUGGAGUCCUCAGGUUAAUGUUAAUAUGUCUACCGUUCACUGAACUGACUUCAAUUUCUGUUUUGUGGAAUAGCAUCUAGUGGCCACUUGAGGAACUGCAUCUUAUCACACGGCCGCCUCCACGUGGCUCAGUUUACGGUGGUUAACCAGGUCUGAGGAGAGGAUGAAGUUCAGAGACGAUCGACAGAGACUCACAGAAGGUGCAGAGACCUCCAUCAGCUGAGAACCCAGAACCAGAGGAGGUCACAUGAUCCACCAGGUGUCACCACCUCAUCAGUCCUCGUCCAAUAAACAAGAGGCCAGAAGAUCCACCACAGAAACAGGUGGUUUUGACCUGGAGCCUCAGUCUCCAGACGACAGAUGAGGUGAAUCUGAGACGAUGGAGAUGAUGUUCCAGACGACAGGAGCCAUGUUUACUCCUCCAGGAAACACUGAGCUGAAGGACAGAAGACACAGAGACACGAGAUCCUGCUGCAGCCCUGCUGGCUCCUCCUCCUCCUGCAUUAUCAAUCAUCUACUCUUCUAAUCUAGAAAACAACCUACUAAUAUAGUAUAUUAUACUAGUAGAACCAACUAAUCUAGAAAACAUGUCUAUUCUAAAGAAACAAGAAAUCUAAACAUCCACACCCAUCAUCUGUACCUAUCAUCUGUUACUGUUUGUCCUAGUCGUUUUGUAAAGAAAUAAAAAUAUUGU